rnacentral:tRNA from 2 species
AAAAAGAUAAGCUAAUAAAAGCUAUUGGGUUCAUACCUCAACUAUAAAGGUCAAGUCCUUUUCUUUUUA